rnacentral:rRNA from 1 species
CAGUCGCCGCGGUAAUAUGGAGGGGGCUAGCGUUGCUCGGAAUGACUGGGCGUAAAGGGCGCGUAGGCGGUUUUGACAGUCAGAUGUGAAAUUCCUGGGCUUAACCUGGGGGCUGCAUUUGAGACGUCAAGACUAGAGUGUGAGAGAGGGUUGUGGAAUUCCCAGUGUAGAGGUGAAAUUCGUAGAUAUUGGGAGGAACACCGGUGGCGAAGGCGGCAACCUGGCUCAUUACUGACGCUGAGGCGCGAAAGCGUGGGGAGCAAACGGGAUUAGAUACCCCCGUAGUCCCUGUCUCUUAUAC